GUCCAGCCAUUUGUUGGUUUUACAUCUCGAGAGUAAACGGAGUGUCUUUGAGGAUAAAGAAGAUUCUUUAGAGGAGGCGUGGUACACAGUUAUGGUUUGAAUUGCCUGGAAAUAUUGCAAAUUAUGUCAAGCUUUUGGAAGUUCACUCAAUCUACCUUCCCUUGCCUGUUAACUUUGAUUUCAUUGGAUUUGAAGGCAAUGGGAACCAAGAUUUUAAGCUAAAUCCAGAAGAAUUAGAGUGAUGGUUCACAAAAAUUGAUCACAUAUUUGAACACAGUAGAAUUCCAAAAAUUGGAGAAAUUCUUGCACCGUUUUACAAGAUUAACAUUGAUCACGAGCAACGUCACCAUCCUGAAGAAUCUCAACACAUUUAUCAUGUCUUUUGUGAGAGUUUUUUUAUAAGUUUACAUACCUUUCCUAGCUAGACCAACCUGAAGACAUUGGCUACACCUAUAUUUGGUUUGUUUAAUUAUCAUUAUUUCUCAAAUUGAGGAGUUAGUAUAGUUUGGACACAGUGCCUUGUAAAA